rnacentral:ncRNA from 1 species
AAAGUGUCUUAUGCCACAGCUAUGGACUGGUUCAUCGCUGUUUGUUUUGCCUUU